UACAGAGGUCCCAAGCGUUGUUCGGAAUUACUGGGCGUAAAGGGCUCGUAGGUGGCCCACUAAGUCAGACGUGAAAUCCCUCGGCUUAACCGGGGAACUGCGUCUGAUACUGGAUGGCUUGAGUUUGGGAGAGGGACGCGGAAUUCCAGGUGUAGCGGUGAAAUGCGUAGAUAUCUGGAGGAACACCGGUGGCGAAGGCGGCGUCCUGGACCAAUACUGACACUGAGUGAGCGAAAGCCAGGGGAGCAAACGGG
rnacentral:rRNA from 1 species